rnacentral:rRNA from 1 species
AUGGAUCAUUGGGUGCCUCCUUCUUCUUCCUUCUCUGGCGUGGAUGCGGCUUCUUCGAAUCCUCGCUGCCGCUUCGAUGAGGCGUGGAGAGCAUGCGGGAGGUCCGGCGCCGCGGCUGUGGCGGCGGCCUGGUGGGCUCUCGGCGCGCUGCUCACCUUGGUCUUCGCCGUCGUGGGUUCGGUAGUUGGGUUCUUCAUUGGUGCCUGCAUGGGGAUGUCCACCGAAAGUGGCAUGCUCCGGGGUGCCGGUGUGGGAGCACUCUCCGGCGGGGUCUUCUGCACCGAGGCCGUUGAAUCCUGCAUCGAGAUUUGGAGAUCCAAUGAAUCCGGAAAAUAUAGCAUUCUGUUUGUGCUUGACAUCAUCUCUAGCCUCUUCAGUGGACGAAUUGUUUGGGAGAAGGUCAGCCCGGCACUGCAGCGUGCAGUGCAAAGCCAGAUGAGUUCACUGAGUACACCAUUCAUCGACAACAGUGACCUUUUCGAGACCAGCGGUACGGAUGGCAUGUCAAGAGAUCUGAUCGACAAGAUCCCAGCGAUCAGGUUCAGCACCGCAACCGGUUCUGAUCAGGAAACUGAUGAGAGCUGCUGCUGUUCAGUGUGCCUUCAGGAUUUCGCGUCGCGGCAAUAUGUGAGAGCUUUGCCUCAGUGCCGGCACAUUUUCCAUGUGCCAUGCAUCGACAACUGGCUUCAGAGAAACGCGUCCUGCCCACUGUGCAGGUGUGGUGUUCAUAUAGUAGACCAUAUGCAUAUGUAA